GACGCACGCUGGCGGCGUGCCUAAUACAUGCAAGUCGAACGCAGUGGGGACGGGUGAGUAACACGUGGGUAACCUCCCAUCAGCGGGGAUAACACUUGGCAACUGGUGCUAAACCGAUACUGAUGGAUGGACCCGCGGGGCAUUAGCUCGUUGGUGAGGUAACUGCUCACCAAGGCGACGAUGCAUACCCGACCUGAGAGGAUGAGCGGCCACACUGGGACUGAGACACGGCCCAGACUCCUACGGGAGGCAGCAGUGGGGAAUAUUGCACAAUGGGCGCAAGCCUGAUGCAGCCAUGCCGCGUGUAUGAAGAAGGACUUAGGGUUGUAAAGUACUUUCAGCGGGGAGGCGUUACCCGCAGAAGAAGCACCGGCUAACUACGUGCCAGCAGCCGCGGUAAUAC
rnacentral:rRNA from 1 species